GAGGCCCCAAGGGGGGCAGCAAGCUCUAGGUUCUGGAGUAUGAGGGGGAAGGAGUAACGCGAAAGGUGCGUGCGGCCCCGGACGUGGGGCGCGGGGCCAGUUGAUCAGUGAGUGCGGUAGUGAUCUCAUCUCGUACCGCGCCAGGUGUGACUCCUUUCUUUCCUCUUCUUUCGAUUCGAGUCUAUGUGCCCUUGGUAAGACGGAGCAAGUUGUAGCCGGACUUAAAAUUCACGUAUCGACUCGGCACCGUGUCCUCGAUACCGAGCAACAGGUAUGUACGUGACGAUGGACUUGGCGGUUCGGAUAAGUCAUUCCAGCAGCAGCGGACUAGCCUAGAAAUCUCAGCCGCCUCUGUCGUUGUAGCACCUUUUAAAUAGAAACAAAAACGAAAUAAUGAAGGAAAUUAAACGUUAGAAAGUCGGGGAUUAUCAUCGAGGGGCUAAAUCUUUUCGAUCGAUGCACGCCCGAUACGAGAACGAAUCAGAAAUGAAUCGGCUGUUUCGCAGAAGUGGGGACACCAACGGGGACGACACGUGCAUGCCAUUAUCUGCAACCGGGGAAUAGCGAUUUCUCGCGCAGGAGGAAGACGACGCUCUUCUUGUAUCAACAGACGUUAGACGUAUCGAUCCGUGUGUGCGUUCACCGAUUUUUACGAUCUCUACGAAUAGACGAGAUCCGACGAUUGUCGGAUUGGCUGCCGGCAGAGCAGGUUUUCGAUUCACCGAUCGUUUGAUUGGCUGGCAGGACGAACUACCACUGCAAGUAUUUCAAUGGUCGAGAGAGGCAACAAGAAGAUCUUGGCGCGGACAUUUUCUUUGGUUAUCUAGCUGUAUGAGUAUUAUUCGACAUCAUAAAGCUAGGUUACCGGAGUUAAGCUCCUCGCCAUAUCAACUUCCACCGCUCUUUCAUCGUUUUUCGUUUUCGUCGUUACCGCUCGGUGAUCAGCGAACGUCAGAAUUAACGGAAACACGAAUAAUCUGUAUAAUAAAUAUUUGCCAUUUGUCUAUUAUUGUA